GUGGGGAAUCUUAGACAAUGGGGGAAACCCUGAUCUAGCCAUGCCGCGUGAGCGAUGAAGGCCUUAGGGUUGUAAAGCUCUUUCAGUAGGGAAGAUAAUGACGGUACCUACAGAAGAAGCCCCGGCUAACUUCGUGCCAGCAGCCGCGGUAAUACGAAGGGGGCUAGCGUUGUUCGGAUUUACUGGGCGUAAAGCGCACGUAGGCGGAUUGGUCAGUUAGAGGUGAAAUCCCGAAGCUCAACUUCGGAACUGCCUUUAAUACUGCCAGUCUCGAGUCCGGAAGAGGUGAGUGGAACUCCUAGUGUAGAGGUGGAAUUCGUAGAUAUUAGGAAGAACACCAGUGGCGAAGGCGGCUCACUGGUCCGGUACUGACGCUGAGGUGCGAAAGCGUGGGGAGCAAACAGGAUUAGAAACCCGAGUAGUCC
rnacentral:rRNA from 1 species